rnacentral:rRNA from 1 species
AAUGGGGGAAACCCUGAUCCAGCCAUACCGCGUGAGUGAAGAAGGCCUUCGGGUUGUAAAGCUCUUUCAGCCGGAAAGAAAUCGUGCAGGCUAAUACCCUGUAUGGAUGACGGUACCGGAAGAAGAAGCACCGGCUAACUACGUGCCAGCAGCCGCGGUAAUACGUAGGGUGCGAGCGUUAAUCGGAAUUACUGGGCGUAAAGCGUGCGCAGGCGGUUUGGUAAGACAGGCGUGAAAUCCCCGGGCUUAACCUGGGAACUGCGCUUGUGACUGCCAGGCUAGAGUACGGCAGAGGGGGGUGGAAUUCCACGUGUAGCAGUGAAAUGCGUAGAGAUGUGGAGGAACACCAAUGGCGAAGGCAAUCCCCUGGGCCUGUACUGACGCUCAUGCACGAAAGCGUGGGGAGCAAA